rnacentral:rRNA from 1 species
CCCCAGACUCCUACGGGAGGCAGCAGUGAGGAAUAUUGGUCAAUGGUCGGGAGACUGAACCAGCCAAGCCGCGUGAGGGAUGAAGGUACAGAGUAUCGUAAACCUCUUUUGUCAGGGAACAAAGGCGGGGACGUGUCCCCGGAUGAGUGUACCUGAAGAAAAAGCAUCGGCUAACUCCGUGCCAGCAGCCGCGGUAAUACGGAGGAUGCGAGCGUUAUCCGGAUUUAUUGGGUUUAAAGGGUGCGCAGGCGUUUUUUAUACCCAGGGCAAAGCGCCGGGGCCCCACCCCCGGCCCGCCGUUGAAACUGGCAGUCUCGAGUUGGAGAGAAGUAUGCGGAAUGCGUGGUGUAGCGGUGAAAUGCAUAGAUAUCACGCAGAACUCCGAUUGCGAAGGCAGCAUACCGGCGCGCAACUGACGCUCAUGCACGAAAGCGUGGGUAUCGAACAGGAUUAGAUACCCUGGUAC